GAUUAAGUUAUUAAGGGCGCACGGUGGAUGCCUUGGCACUAGAAGCCGAUGAAGGACGUUACUAACGACGAUAUGCUUUGGGGAGCUGUAAGUAAGCUUUGAUCCAGAGAUUUCCGAAUGGGGAAACCCAGCAUGAGUUAUGUCAUGUUAUCGAUAUGUGAAUACAUAGCAUAUCAGAAGGCACACCCGGAGAACUGAAACAUCUUAGUACCCGGAGGAAGAGAAAGAAAAUUCGAUUCCCUUAGUAGCGGCGAGCGAAACGGGAAGAGCCCAAACCAACAAGCUUGCUUGUUGGGGUUGUAGGACACUCUAUACGGAGUUACAAAGGACGACAUUAGACGAAUCAUCUGGAAAGAUGAAUCAAAGAAGGUAAUAAUCCUGUAGUCGAAAAUGUUGUCUCUCUUGAGUGGAUC
rnacentral:rRNA from 1 species